rnacentral:rRNA from 1 species
AGGGCACCACCAGGAGUGGAGCCUGCGGCUUAAUUUGACUCAACACGGGGAACCUCACCAGGCCCGGACACUGACAGGAUUGACAGAUUGAGAGCUCUUUCUUGAUUCAGUGGGUGGUGGUGCAUGGCCGUUCUUAGUUGGUGGAGCGAUUUGUCUGGUUAAUUCCGAUAACGAACGAGACUCUGGCCUACUAACUAGUCGCCGGGUCUUCCCCUCGUGGGGGCCCGGCGCAUCUUCUUAGAGGGAUAAGCGGCGCACAGCCGCACGAGAAGGAACAAUAACAGGUCUGUGAUGCCCUUAGAUGUUCUGGGCCGCACGCGCGCUACACUGAAGGGCUCAGCGUGUCUUUCCCCCUCCGAGAGGAGCGGGUAACCCGAUGAAACCCCUUCGUGAUAGGGAUUGGGGCUUGCAAUUCUUCCCCAUGAACGAGGAAUUCCCAGUAAGCGCAAGUCAUCAGCUUGCGUUGAUUACGUCCCUGCCCUUUGUACACACCGCCCGUCGCUACUACCGAUUGAAUGA